AGUGAACGCUGGCGGUAGGCCUAACACAUGCAAGUCGAACGGCAGCACAGUAAGAUCUUGCUCUUACGGGUGGCGAGUGGCGGCCGGGUAGGAAUUCGAUAGACUCCCUAUUUUACUGGGGGAAAAUCGGGGGAAAGGUACGCUUACCCCGUAAUCUAUCUAACGGCGUAAGUCAUUAGUGAUCGGCGCUUUUGCUGUUGCAUAUAGCUGGAUCCGCGCCGCAUUAGCUAGUUGGUAAGGUAACGGCCUACCAAGGCGACGAUCCGUAGCCGAUCUGAGAGGGUGAUCAGCCACACUGGAACUGAGACACGGUCCAGACUCCUACGGGAGGCAGCAGUGGGGAAUAUUCGGCAAUGGGCGCAAGCCUGAUCCAGCCAUACCGCGUGGGUGAUGAAGGCCUUCGGGUUGUAAAGCUCUUUUAUUGGGAAAGAAAAGCAGCAGGUGAAUACCCCGCCGUUCUGACGGUACCCAAAGAAUAAGCACCGGCUAACUUCGUG
rnacentral:rRNA from 1 species